UUCGUAUAACAAAAAGAUUUAAAAGCUCUUAAGAUAGUAAUAAUUUUAUAUUAGGAGCAUAUCGGCACGUGAUACACAUAUGCCGGGUGGCAAAGCGACCAUGUAACAUGUGACUCUUAAAUUUUUUUUUUUUUUUAAGUUUUGGACAUGUGACUCAUGAUCAUUUAAUUUACAAAAAAGCAUAUUUUUUUAAUCAACCGGAAGUAAGCACAACCACAAUUAUUUAAAAUUCUCUUUUCAUCGACAUAUUACAAGUUGACAUUUAAUUGAUUUUAUAAAGUAGGAUAGAGAUUGAACAGCUUAUACAUAUUAAAAAAAAUUCAAAACCCAAAAAAAUAAGAACCUAUAAAAAUUAGUCCUGCUUUUAAAGUAUACAAGGUCCAUCAAACAAGUAUGGUUAAAUUCUAAUUCUAGAAGAAUGGAGGAUUAUUAAAUCCCGGAAUUAGACUCGUCAAAGAGAUACCUUCAUAUAAAGAGAAGAACAUAUUCAGUCAGGAAAAUAUUCAGGAUUUGUAAUUGAAAAACUUCGAUAAAUUGCUCCAUUUUGACUGGACUGCUGCUUCCUUUUACCCAAAUCUGGAACAUAUCAAGGAGAGGACAUUUAUAGGGAAGAUUUAAGGUUAACAAUAAAGUUGUCAUCUAUAACCAUUCUGAAAGAUCAAAAUCUAAAUAGUGGUGGUAUGGAGCAGAAACUCACUUUACCCAAAAAUAUGUCUUUUGCGGACGACAGGCAACAAACCGUUAAAAUUAAAGUCAACGAAGAGUUGCCUCUUGUCUCUGUUUUAGCAGCUACUGUGGGCUUAACCAUAUUGGUGAUGUGCUGUUGCUGUACAGGAGGGAGAUCCAGAAGUUAAAUUUAGAAAAAAAAUCUGUAUACACUAAUAAAUUCUUCGUUGUUUAAACAAACAUGAAAUUAAAUGUAAUUGGAGUACUAUCAGAAAUGGGUUACUAACCUGGAAAAGCAACAAAUUAAACCACAACUAUUUUGGUACAAAACUUCAAAUCAAGUAUCUCUAAAACCACAGAAGUACUAAAUAAUAAUAACAACGAUAUUUCUUCAAUAUAACAUGAUUAAUUUGUCAACUGAGGGCAGUACCACGUA